UUGUGCACGCCCGAGCUUGUCCUCUCGCAUAAAAUCCAUCUCACCCUUUUGUGCACCACCGCGUGGGCACCCUUUGGGAUCAAACCGAUCCGGGAGGGGGCUUGCGUUUCCACACAAACCCCUUUUUAAAAGUGUAGAAUGACCCCAUUUUUGUGAUAACACGCAAUCAAUACAACUUUCAACAACGGAUCUCUUGGCUCUCGCAUCGAUGAAGAACGCAGCGAAAUGCGAUACGUAAUGUGAAUUGCAGAAUUCAGUGAAUCAUCGAAUCUUUGAACGCACCUUGCGCCCCUUGGUAUUCCGAGGGGCACACCCGUUUGAGUGUCGUGAAAACCUCAACCUCCUCGGUUUCUUCUGGACACCGAAGGAGGCUUGGACUUUGGAGGCCUUUGCUGGUGUCUCUCUCUUUUGAAAGCCAGCUCCUCUUAAAUGAAUUAGCGGGGUCCUCAUUGCCGAUCCUCGACGUGUGAUAAGAUGUUUCCAUGUCUUGGUUUCUGGCUCUGUUGCCCUUUGGGACCCGCUUCUAACCGUCUCAGCAUCACGUUGAGACAACGUUUGGGCGUGUCUCCCUUCUCGGGAAACUCUCUCAACCACACGAACCCUUUGACCUCAAAUCGGGUGAGACUACCCCG
rnacentral:rRNA from 1 species